UGUAGUCAUGUGGCUCUGAUGGCGGAUGGAUACCAUAAAACUCUCAGAAUGAAAACCUAAAGUUACCGAAAC